rnacentral:rRNA from 1 species
GACGAACGCUGGCGGCGUGCUUAACACAUGCAAGUCGAACGGAAAGGCCCUGCUUUUGUGGGGUGCUCGAGUGGCGAACGGGUGAGUAACACGUGAGUAACCUGCCCUUGACUUUGGGAUAACUUCAGGAAACUGGGGCUAUUACCGGAUAGGAGCUCCUGCUGCAUGGUGGGGGUUGGAAAGUUUCGGCGGUUGGGGAUGGACUCGCGGCUUAUCAGCUUCUUGGUGUGGUAGUGGCUUACCAAGGCUUCGACGGGUAGCCGGCCUGAGAGGGUGACCGGCCACAAUGGGACUGAGAUACGGCCCAGACUCCUACGGGAGGCAGCAGUGGGGAAUAUUGCACAAUGGGCGGAAGCCUGAUGCAGCAACGCCGCGUGCGGGAUGACGUCCUUCGGGUUGUAAACCGCUUUCGCCUGUGACGAAGCGUGAGUGACGGUAAUGGGUAAAGAAGCACCGGCUAACUACGUG